rnacentral:rRNA from 1 species
GACGAACGCUGGCGGCGUGCUUAACACAUGCAAGUCGAACGGAAAGGCCCUGCUUUUGUGGGGUGCUCGAGUGGCGAACGGGUGAGUAACACGUGAGUAACCUGCCCUUGACUUUGGGAUAACUUCAGGAAACUGGGGCUAAUACCGGAUAGGAGCUCCUGCUGCAUGGUGGGGGUUGGAAAGUUUCGGCGGUUGGGGAUGGACUCGCGGCUUAUCAGCUUGUUGGUGGGGUAGUGGCUUACCAAGGCUUUGACGGGUAGCCGGCCUGAGAGGGUGACCGGCCACAUUGGGACUGAGAUGCGGCCCAGACUCCUACGGGAGGCAGGAGUGGGGAAUAUUGCACAAUGGGCGGAAGCCGGAUGGAGCAACGCCGCGUGCGGGAUGACGGCCUUCGGGUUGUAAACCGCUUUCGCCUGUGACGAAGCGUGAGUGACGGUAAUGGGGAAAGAAGCACCGGCUAACUACGU